AGCAAUCAGGACAAGUAGCAACGAGUGAAGAUGUUGUUCUACAACAUUCUGGUAGCACACAAAGCAAAGACACACAAGUUACUACUAAUGCAGCUUCUGAGCCCCAAAACAAAAAAAAGCGUCUGAGAUCUUUGGAUACUUUUCGUGGGAUUGCAAUCACAACAAUGCUGUUUGUCAACUUUGGUCAUGGUGGAUAUUAUUUCUUUGGACACGCUGACUGG